rnacentral:tRNA from 1 species
GGAGGCGUCGCAUAGCGGUCUAGUGCACCAUCUUGGAAAGGUGGCGUGUCGAAAGAUACCGAGAGUUCGAAUCUCUCCGCCUCCGCCA